rnacentral:rRNA from 1 species
GCGCGAAAACUUUACAAUGCUGGCAACAGCGAUAAGGGAACCUCGAGUGCCAGGUUACAAAUCUGGCUGUCGAGAUGCCUAAAAAGCAUUUCAUAGCAAGGGCCGGGCAAGACCGGUGCCAGCCGCCGCGGUAACACCGGCGGCUCGAGUGGUAACCGUUAUUAUUGGGUCUAAAGGGUCUGUAGCCGGCCGGAUAAGUCUCUUGAGAAAUCUGGCAGCUUAGCUGUCAGGCUUUCAGGAGAUACUGUCUGGCUCGAGGCCGGGAGAGGUGAGAGGUGCAUCAGGGGUAG